GGGUCAGUAGGUUGGUCGUGCCACCGGUACGUACUGGUCUCACUGAUUCCUCCUUCCUGAAGAACCGUAAUGCCAUUAAUUUGGUGUUGCGGGGAAACAGGACUGUUACUUUGAAAAAAUUAUAGUGUUUAAUGCAAGCUAACGCUUGAAUACAUUAGCAUGGAAUAAUGAAAUAGGACGAUCGAUCCUAUUUUGUUGGUUUCUAGGAUUGACGUA
rnacentral:rRNA from 1 species